rnacentral:rRNA from 1 species
UGAGGAAUAUUGCACAAUGGGCGAAAGCCUGAUGCAGCAACGCCGCGUGAGGGACGAAGGCCUUCGGGUCGUAAACCUCUUUUCUGGGGGACGAGUAAGGACGGUACUCCAGGAAUAAGUCUCGGCUAACUACGUGCCAGCAGCCACGGUAAAACGUAGGAGGCGAGCGUUAUCCGGAUUUACUGGGCGUAAAGCGUACGCAGGUGGCUUCGUUAGUCGGACAUGAAAGCUCCUGGCUUAACUGGGAGAGGUUGUUCGAUACUGCGGGACUUGAGGUUGGGAGAGGGACGUGGAAUUCCCGGUGUAGAGGUGGAAUGCGUAGAUAUCGGGAGGAACACCAGUGGCGCAAGCGGCGUCCUGGCCCACACCUGACGCUGAGGUACGAAAGCGUGGGUAGCAAACAG